UUCCUACGCUGGCACAAAGUCAGCAGCACUCGGGUGUGCUGCAUUCUUGGAGUCCGGGGCACGAGUUGGAGCUGGAGGUAUUUCACACAGUCCUAUGACAUUGCUAAUUUACUUAGCUUUUCCCCCGAAAUUAGAGGAAUUAAAUAUUUAGUGUCUGCCUUCUAUGUAUUUUCUAUUUAUCAUCUGCUAUUCUGUCUAGACAACCACACUCAGCCACUGAUAUCUAAAAACCACAUCCCUACUGCUCUUGGCUCUGCUAGCAGAGGUCUCACCUGCUGGCCUUCUGCUUGCUGUUGGUUAACACAUUUUCCCUUUGUGUGAAGGUAGACCUCCCCUUCCUCCCCCCCGAGUCUCUGCUUUAACCAGAAUAACCUUCUCUCUCUGAGCGCUGAGAUUUCACUAGAUGCCCUAAAAGCCAGAGUGCUUUUAAACAACGAGUUGCCAAAUAUCACACACAUUUUCUCUUCAAAAUCCUCCAAGUGACCUGGCUUACAGUGUUGAAAAGAAAAAGUGUCUGCUAUCUGCUCAGGCUUCGUUCUGUCUGAGCCCUGCACAUAAGAUGGAAAUGGCAUCCCCUCUGUGUUGGCUGUAAGUGGUUUUUAGAGCUGCGAUCAGCUCUUCAGCUGUGAAGACAAUCCUGCAGAGAAUCCUCCUGAUUUUGGUUAACAACGGCAUUUAUAAAUUCCCAAAAUUGGCAACACAAGCCCUCCAGCUCACAGCAUUCAAGUUCAGGUUUUCCAAGACACUCUACAGGAAUUUUCCUUAAAUGUUUCUGGUUUCUGGUGAGAUUUGAGCAGUGUCAUCCAUUGGCUUUUACUUGUACUUGAGGUCACUUUCUCUUGAGCUCCCAGUGACUUGGAUGGCAGCAAUGUCACUUCUGGUAUUGAUUGUCCCUCCUACACCUUCUUUGCCCACUCAGUUUCUUUUUUUUGCAAAUAGGUUCCAGCUAUUGAUUUUAAUAUUCCAGGCACAUGGAUUUUCUCCCCAAGUUUAAGUCAUGCUCUCCAGAUAGAAUUUGUACUCAUAAAUUAGUCGUUCCCACUCUUUUUUAUGGCUCAGCCUUCCUGCGCUACCGUAGAGGCAAUUAAAGUUCUUCUCCUCGCAUCCUUUCGUGUGUUCAUUAGCUCUCUCCUCAUCAUUUUCUUCCUUGAGCCAGAGACAGGGACGGGUGCGGAAUGAAUUCUGUUUCCUCAUUGCUUUCCAGUGCCUGUAUCUCCAACCCAGUCCAAGCAUCCCUCCCAGCAGAAAAGCUAGAGCCCGAAGAGCCAUUGGGAGCACCACAGCAGAAGGGAAAACCUUUGCUGAUCUCAGCACUGACAGGUUUUGGUGGCAAUGAGCUGAUGGUUGGACUAGAUGAUCUCAGUGGCCACUUCCAAAUUCUACAAUUCUAUGAUUUUGGGGUCAUCAUGGAUGUAGAAUGAUUCAAACUCCAUUGUGCAACAGUAUCUGAUCUCCCAAAUUCUCCUGGCAGCCAAUUCCCCAGCUCAGCCCUACUGCAACUGCUCCCCAGACACACUGAACCACAAGGAAAAGCCAUUUGGAUUGUGCUCUCUUGCUUUCAUGUCCAUGGGGGAUUUCCUGGGAUUUUGCAAGCCGCAGGGAUUGAGGGCAAAGCCAACAGAGAAGCAGACCUGUGCUUAGGGCACCUGCACAAGCUAGCCUGCAGGCUUACAGCUUCACUGUGGUUUGAGGUUUGAAGGUUUCCUAUCACCUGCUCAUCUCCUGCCUUUAUGUAACAACAAUAACAAAACACACAAAAAUAUCCCUCAGAAAAUCCAACCGUCUUUGCUCUUGCAGGUCCUGAACUGUUUGCCUCUGAGGGCAGAACACAGACUUUGGAUGGUUUUGAGAAGUCUCCUGUCUGGGUGGUUUUAUUUAUAUCUGAUGCAUUUUAAUGCAGAAUGGGCAGAAAAGAGAUGCUUCAGAGCAAAGUCAAAGCAGAGCAGUUCUGCAGGUCCGGCCCUCGCUGGGUUCAGUGGUGGGAUGUGCUCAUCACCCCCUCUUCAAAAUAACCCCCCACGUCUCUUUUCAUCCAACAAAACAUUUAGGUGCAUAUCUGCGAGUGAAGGAGUACAAGAGAAGGAAGCAUAAGGCUGUAAAAUAAACACUCUACAAAAUGCCUCCAGGUUGCUCUAAAUUAUGCAUCCUUCCUGUUAGGAGAUGUUCAAGGUUGUCUUUUCCUGUGAACAGCGCUCCUCCUGGGUCCUCACCUUCAUUUGCUGGGAUGCCUCUGCUCUGGGCUUGCAGUUACGUCUCCUUCCCUUUCGCUGCCUUUACAACCAUUUCUUUGCCGCCUUUUAUAAUUCAGAACACGACAAAUGAAUUCCCACCUCAGCUCAGCACUCAGAUGAUGGGAAAGGGAUAAACGGUCCCUGGUAGCAGCUCAGUGCACGGUGAGCAUCACUGCAGCCCCGUGCGGUGUUUUUUCCCUGCGCACAUGCAGGACAGACGGGCGCAGGAGUGGAGCGAUGCUCACAGCCCCAGUCCCUGGUGCAGAGCUGGGAGCAUCAGUGGGGCAAACCGUGGCCAAAAACACACGGACUCUUCUGGGAAACGGCCCAACCCUCUCAUUUCUGUAAUGUGAUUGGCACAUGGCUUGGUUUUGCGUUCUGUUUCUAAAGGAUAGCUGCUAUUCUUUUUAUUAAAACCUCUAAAUUUCAUUAGUUUGCACUUACCAAAAUAAACCUGGCAUCACUAGUGAGCUCUCCUGCGGCCGUGCCAUCGAUCUGAUGCAGCCCCGCGUCACACCUGGCACGGUGACAGCCGCGUCCCUCCAUGCUGAACACAGGCACCCGCUCUGCCUGGAGGCUGAGAGGCAUUUUCAUGGAGUUCUGUGAUGAGGAACUUUGCUUCCAAGUUUCAAGGGGGAAAAAAAGAAAAAAAGAAAAAAAAAGAGAGAGAGAGAGAGAGAGAGAGAGGUUGAUUGUAAAUUUAAUUCCUGUAUCUUAGUCAUUUCUGGGCCAUGGGUCAUUAGGCACACAUUAGUGCUGCUGGGCAUUUUUCACAGGGGCUGCACCAGCAGAAAGGAGCUGGGUUUUGCAAAGCCAAGGGUGUGAGAGAGAUCCGUGUGCAUGAGAAAGCUCAGUCCUGUGCUCAGCCCCGCAGUGCUGGGAAGUUCCCCCAAAUACUCCCGGUGUCCGUCUGUCCGCAGCCAUGACAAACAGCCCGGGGAAGCAGGCUCCUUUAAUGGGCUCCAGCAUUUUAUUUAUAGCCCCUUCGAAUAAGUGCAGCUGAUACUUAAGAUCGGCGGAUUUAAUGACAGCGAGCUGGCGAAAGGCCAGGGCUGCAAAUAGCGCCGCUAAAAGUCUUCUCCGCUAUAAAAUUUGUUUAAUGCAAGAAAUCAUCCCGUGCAGGUUUUUUGGCUGGCAUUUUUAUAAUUAGCGGGUGAAAUCGCCAUUUCGCCCCUACGAUCCGCCAGCACUUUAUGGGAUGGGGCUGCCUUGGAGAUGGAUUGUUGUGCUGGAAGAGGCGUUGAAGCUUUGCCACUCCGUAUCAUCCCACUCUUCCUCGGGGACACCCAUGUAUGCCCACUCCCAGCACCUUUCCCUUCCCUCCAGGAGUCAUCUCUCCGAGGUUUGACCAAGAGCCCAUCACACUAAGUGGUAAGGCAGCACGGCUGGGAGCUGGGACCUUUGGGAUCUGUAGACAUGCACUGAAGCCACCACACUUGGUUGGUGUUUGAUAACUUCGCCGCUUUUCACUAAGGAGCCCUCAGCAGCCAGGCUGAUAUCACCGGAGGCAAGACCUGAAUCAGACGCGGAGAAAUCAGCUAUUUAAAUGCACCGGAGUUGCUGCGCUCCCAUUAAACCCCAAGAAACCCAAUUGCAGUUUGGAGAUAGAGGUACAGCGAGAGGAGGUGUGGGACACACUUCUGCACAGUCACCUAAUGGGAAAAGACAGAGCCUGGGCAGAAGUGAGUGAUAAAGGAAUGGCGAUGUCCAAGGCUUGCACAGCUCAGUGCUGCAGCAGCACCUAUGAGAGCAAGCAAAGGAAGAGAUGCUGUCUCUGGCAAGGGAGCAGCUGAAGAACUGCUGUCCUGUACUUUAGAUUUGAAAAGUAUAUAUAGUUUUAAUUAUUAAUGACACAUCAGUUUGAUACACGUGACAAUGAGGCAGCAGAGAUGCUCCAUAGUUUUGCAUGGGGUUUGUGGCUGCUCGUGCAAACCCACAUGAACGAGCAAUAUCCGAGCCUUUGCUUCAGCUCAGCUCAGAGCAAAGUGUCCCAGCACACAGGACUGCCUUGCCAGGUGCUGACAGCCCUCCCGCAUGCACACAACCAGUGCCUUGCUCAGAAAGACUGGAGGAGGGGGAGUGGAAUGAGGGUCAGCAAUUUGCUCCCUGUUGGAAAUAUCCCAACAGCAAGGAUAUCGAAGCUGACCUUUAAGCAGAAGCUGACGAAAAGCUGCUACAAAUUAAUCUCUUAACAUUUUAAUUUAAUGCACGUUUUGUUCCAAGAACAGGGGUGACCCAGGAAAGGGUUAAUCCGAGCUGUGCACCUAGCACAUCCACACCAGAUUUGCAGCAGUGUGGGUAUAUACAUGCAUUUCUAUCACAUACACAGGUAUUUCUUUAUCAGAGGCAUGUGGGCUGGACAGCAGACGGGCUCUCCUCUCACCACGGUGGGGUGUGGGAUGCCACACAAAUUCCAUCAGGGCGACCUGCAGCCCAUCAGCAUUGCAGCAUCACAGGGAGCCCCAUGGGAGCAGGGACACUUUCCAGCAUCACUCAGAGCCACUUCAUUGGCUUCUUUAUUUUUAUUCUUUUUCAUGUUGUGAUGCCCUAACGUCAUUGUUGGUGGGAAAGAGCUGAAAAACAGACAGGUUCUGACCAGUCCCUCUCUGCCAUCAGUCUCACAGCAUAACCGAACUGCUUUAGUUGCACUUAAUUGUGCUGUUUGUUUGUUUCCAUGUUGUCAUCAGACAAUAAAUCCAAAGCAAUCACUGUCCAAAUUUUUACAGUUUUCCCAAAGGGAAUGUCAAUUACCUUUCCCUCCCAGCACCGCUGACCUCUGCCACAUACAAAUCCCACUUUUAUUCGGAAAAAUGCAGCCACUUGCUCCAAUUAUUCAGCCUGCACUCUGAGGUGAGCAUAAAAAAAGAGUGUUCAGUAGGUACAUCCAGCCUGUAAAGGCUCAGAGGUUGGGUGCCAUUGCUCUGCAGUACAUGGGCAUGUCCAACCCACAGCCCCACGAGCUGCAGAUAGAUGAGGAGAGUAAUGUAAUUCCAUCUUUGGAAAUGUCAGACUUUAUGGAUGAAUAAAAUACAUUCCAUUUUCUUCUGUUUAUCAAUAUCGGGUGAGAACAGACUAGAAAUUGCUUAUAAAUGGAUAGCAUAAGGAGAGAGGCCAUCUAUUUGUUAUCUAUAGCAGAAGCUGAGCACUGAUCCUACUGUGGCAGCCACAGGUCAUAGAAUCAAAGAAUCACAGAAUAUCCUGAGUCAGAAGGGACCCAUGAGGAUCACUGAGUCCAGCCCCAUCACCUCUGCAUAGAAUACAAUAAAUGACUAAAAUAGAAAAGCGAGGCAUGGAUAGAAGAAAGAGCAACGUCGGGUUCUCCUCCGUUCAGCCAAUAAUUCUGACUACACAGUGUUUAAUGUUUGGUGAUGCCAUGUACUGGUUUUUCCAUAAGAUGGUCUCAAAGCCGCUGUGUGCUCUGAGUUUCGAUGGGAAAUCCACGGUGCCAUGUGAGGGUGGGCUCCCCAGAGCUCCAUGGGGUGUGCAGGAGGGAUACAGUCCCCAACAGCACCAUAACGGUUAAAGGAGAGAUUUCAGGAAGGGGAACAGAACAGCAGAGAGUGAACUUUGCAGAUAAAUUAUAGCUAAAGAGGAAUGAAACAUUAUAGUUUCAAUUACUGCUGUGCCCAGCCACGCAGGUAGUAAUUCAAACAAGAAACAAUUGGCGGAUUGUCACCCUCAAAUCAGACACAUACCAUUUAAUUCCAUUUACUGAGGGUUCACUGACUGUAUUUUGAAUCAAAUACAGCCAUUAAUGUGCAAAGAUCUGAAAAAUGCAUGUGUCCCUUUUACAAAUGUGACAAUGAGACGCUAAUUCCUGUAAAGCCCUUUUUUCUUCAGGUUGGACUGCUCCUAUUGCCUUUAGUUAUGCAGAUAUUACUUAUUAAGAGUUUUAAUAUGUCAGGCUGGUUCUUUUGAAAUGCCUUGUGCCUUUUUGUUCAGAGCGUGCGGAAAGCGCAGCUAAAUCCAUUCUUACGUUCCAUCAUCCAAACUUAGCAAAUUGAUUCGAAUGCAGGAAAAAAAAAAAAGCUACUUUCAUUAAAACAAUUAAAUCCUUACUAUUAUUGCUGUAUCUGGCUAUUACAGCACAAAUAUAAAUCAUCGGUUACAGGAGCUAAAAGCUUUCAGCUGGAAUUGCUCUACCGUCUGCCCCAUGCCAUGGGCAGGGAGGAAGGAUGACGUGCACCAGGCUUCUUUAUGGGAGAUGCUGCUGCCUAAAUAAAAAAGUCAAGUCCAUAAAGUGAAUAUUAUUGUGCUACCUUGUUUCUCCCCAGCAGUGAAGCAAUGCAUGCCAAUGGGCAGAGCGAAUAGGAGGAAAUAGUUGGGUUGGUUUUCCCGCUCCUCGUGAAUUGGGGGACAUUUUGGAAGGGGCACAAAGGUUUCGGGGGCAGUUGAGUGCUUUUGUUUUCCUUUUCUAAAUAAACCACGGAUCUGCACUGCCACACACUCCCCGUGGGGUCACGAAGUGUGCUGCAGAAUAAAAACGGAGCUUUCUGUGAUAGUGCACUUGCCCUUCAGAGCCGCUUGGAUUGCAUCAAAGGGCAAAUUGUUUAAAUAUAAUUUUCCUGAUUACUGAAUAGGUCGACCGAACAGGAUAUGAAAUGCAAAGGCUUUUCUCAUCUUGCUCUUUGCAUCAUCCUAGGGCACACCUCGCUACAGGUGCUGCCUGUUGGCUCAAGGACACUUCCAGGCGGCAGAAUAUCAAAGGAGCAGGGAUGGACAGCCCAGUGCAUCCUGCACAUUUUAAAUUGCUUAAAAAGACUCUUUUGCAAAGGGAGUCUGAGGCAGGGACCGAAAUCAGUGCUCAGCAUGUGGAUUAGACAAACAGAGUGGUCAUUAGCGCUGAUUGUCAUUGUCACACAAGCACAGACUGUUAAUUCAGCCCAGGAGUCAUUAGAAACGAGCCUCAGCGGGGAGAGGGGUUGGUGUUGGUGUAGAUGCUGGAUGGUGGCUCUGCUGGCUUGGCAGAACAUGAAGGAGACCCCUGAGAUCCUACACUGCUCCGGUUGUAAAUUCCAAAUGGAAACUCCCAGGAAUUUGCCAGGAAAAGGAUAAUCACUCAUUAUUCUCAUUUGUGGAAAGCUGUUUAAACCCAGCCCUGCUUUUCUCACCCCAUUCCCAAGCUGAGCUCAUCACCUUUCUGAGAAGCCACGCUCUUCCAGGACAGUGUCUCCUCUUCCAGUGAGCUUUUGCCCUGGCUUUUCUCCUGGGUCCAUUUGGGAGGGUUCCAUCUUUGCCCCAGUGCUUUUGCCAGUGGCUGCCACCAUCCAGAGAGAUAUUCAGCCUCAAGGAGUCCCCAGCAAAGAGCACCCACUGCCUUCCAGCCUCACCCCAGCAGCAGCGUUGAGGUCCCACAGCUGCAGAGCAGCGCCCGUUGUGCUGUGCGGGUGCCCCUUUAUUGGAGUUCCUCCCACCACGUGCUUGUAAUUUAUUUGUAUUUCCAGCAGAGAUAAUUGAGUUAUCAAUUCUGUGCUCUUUUGGGCCAGAAGCAAAGAGAUCAGAGAGCUGUUUUAUACACCUAAUUAUAGAUUAUUUCCCAUAGCUAUAAAACCACAGAGGGACAGAUCCAGAGAGCAUCCUUUUCAUCUCCACUGACUUUUGCCUUUGCUCUCUCAGACUCGGAUCAGAAGGGCCUCCAGACAAAACAGUUGUCAAAAGCAAGGGCUCCUUAUCUCCUCACAGGACAAAACCUCUCGGCAUCCCAGUAGAGACCGUGCACAGUUGCUUAAAGAUCAAAUUCAACUUAUACUUAACCAAUCUGCUUAAGCCUUUAGCACCUCAUUGAGUCGUGCUGAGAUUUAUUCCGUUUCUGCACACUUUGGCUAUAAUCUGGUUCAUGACAAUGGCCUGGGGGUCUGCUGAGGAUGUAAAAAAUUGAUUUUCUUUGCCACAUGCAGGCUUUGUGGGCUUGCAUUUGGCAUGGCCCCUCAUGCCCCUGCUAGCUCCUAUGCUCAGCCUGCUCCCUCCUCCCCAGGCAGCUCUGAGCACCCUGCAGCAUCCGCAGAUCCCGCAGAGCUGCAGUGCAGAGCAGGGGUUGAGGUCCGGCAUACCCGAAUUUUCUAUGUAUGGAAAGAAAUGGGAAGUGUCCGUGCGUCGGUGUUAAGUUUCUGGUGGUGACACGCAGAGGCCAUCCGAGAUGUAUGACCUAGCAAAUGUAUUGUAACGCACACAUCACAUUCGUUCUCUGGGUAAAUAGAUAUUGUCUAGGGUACAUUACAUCUGUGCCUUCGUGUUUAAUUUAAUGUAAGUGAACUGCCUUAAUUUCUCCAAAUUGUAGUAAUAAACAUAACGUUAACGGUGAUACUGCUAAUAAUUUAUUUUGCAAGCGAUUAAUCAACAACAAACUCUUUUAAUUACCUGUUCUGAAAUGUCAAACUCUAAACUAAUUACAUGUUAUUACAUGAAUUCAUGUAUAUGUAUACACAAAUACGAAUUCCAAGGGUAAUUAAAAUGAAUAAACCAUCAGAUUUGGUAAAAUCAUGCAGCUGAGAGAAGUUUGCUCUCCACUGCAUUUCUGCCUCUUUGCAUUUCAUCCUCAGCACAAAGGGAGCUAGAUUCCAAGGCUCUGAGCGAGUCGUUUGUGCUUCUGCAAAAAAAUAUUACCCACAGAAAGUGGCAAACCCCGUGGGAUCUAUGCUGAGAACCACAAGGAAGAGAGGAAAGCAGCUGUGCUGCUCUGCUGGGGGGAGUACAGAGUGUGGGGCUCAUUUGGGUGCUCCCUGUGCAGGGGGUGAAACCAAGCAGGACAGAAGUGGGUGGUGUACAUUUGCUGUACUCAAUAAUUGGCAACGAUUUUUGGAAGGAGAUUGGGGGUGAAAUUAACAGAUUUGGGGCACGACCAAAUCUGUUCUCCAUUUUGUGUCCUUGUUGAGUCUCUCAGUGCAGGCACAACACAGUGCUCUUUGCAACACCCUGGUGACCCCUAGAUGAGACUUGGAAGACCACUUCUUUGCACUGGCACUCCAGACAUCAUGGCCAAGUGCCCCCAGCAAUGUGGGGCUGUAUGCCAGUGGGUCACGAAAGGAUGGAGACCACCAGCUUGGAGGGUCUGGGAAUGAAGCCUUUAAUUCAGGGGUGGACACUGAGGCAGUCCCAAUGGCUUGCAGCAUGGGCUGGAAGAACAGGAUGAUUAAUGAGAGCAAUGGCACGAAGGAGCCAGGAACUAAGUAAUGAGACCUUUAUUUGAUACAUAAUACAGCCGGGGCCCUCUAUAAAGAGAAUACCAAGAGUAGGGCUAAGUUUCACAGUUCUGGGAAUGUAUCAGGAAGGGGGAAAGCUUUGCUGACUUUGCAGCCAAACGCCUGGGCCAUCCGCAAGUGUUGUUCGCAGUGAGCUUGGGACAUGUUAAUUUGGUCAUAUAUCUUCAGAUGGUGGCAAGAUGCCCUGACUUUUGAUUUACUGUGCUGAGUGGGUCUGUGUGAUGUUGUGGGUUUAAAAUGAGGUGUCCAGAGCCUGAUUCAGUCACAGGAUCACUGAAUUCCAGCUGGGAGAUGAAGAAGCCGUUAUACACACACAACAAGAACUUCCAGCCAAAAAUUACUUAUGGUUUCAAUUAAAGGAGAAGAAGUUGCUGAUUGUUUAGGUAUGGAUGUCAGAAACACAGCAGUUAACAGCAGAGAUGAAUGAGAGAUAGUGAGGUGAUAACUUAGAUAAAUUGGUAUCUCAUCCAUAUUAAGGAGACAGCUCAUCCUCUGGUGCUGCUGGAUGACAUGAAGAGUGGAGUGUAUAUGGAUACUAAAAAACGUUGGUCUUAAAGUUAAAUCCCCAAGAACCAUCAGAAAUAAGUCUCAGAAGCCAAAGUGAGAUCUGAUGCACGCUGCAAAAAUAUGCAGUCUGUCAGGGAACGCUGCUCUCUCCAUAUAACUUCCACCGUUUGUGGGACAAUUAUAGAGAAAAUGAUACUGUGAUCUGUAAAGCAGUUCCUGCAGUGGUUUUAUUCACUAACUCGAUGCCACGCAUAAUCAUAGCCAGUAACAUCUCCAGAGGUGUGUGCAUAAUAGAGAGACAUCAAGUCAAUGAGUCAAAACAUCAGAAAAUAAAAUUCAGAUGAACAUCACUUGCAGAAAUUCUAUCAUCUGUCAUUUAACGCUGUCUGAAGACCUCCACGUUGAAAUAAGGCGUGGAAACCAGAAGUUACCCCAGGCAGCAGUCCUUAGGACCUGCACGGACUCAGGGCUUUCUGCAAGUUGGGUUGAGUGCCAAAGAAGUUCUCUUGCGAUCUUAAAACUCAAGCACCCAAAAAACACCAUAGAGGGGAAGGCAGGGAGCAGGGAGGAUCUGUCCUGCCGUGUCCCCACCUCAGAUCCUGCCCAGCAUCACCCAAGCAGCCGCUGCUGGGAGCGGAGUUGCUCCUGGAUCACCUUAAGGCUAUUUGCAGCUCUUGCUGAUGCCCUUUCAAUACCCAAUCCCGAAACUUUUCAUGCGAGGAAGCUUGCAGGAUGACAGAUUGCACCUUAAAACAAAGAGGUAAUAGCUCUUAGGUCCAGAUCUGUUCUUGGAACUAAAUUCACUGCAGAAGAAGUGUUUCUGCACAACUGCAUAAUGCCUCAAAGUGGCAUUUUACAAUCUUUAAAUUCCAACACCGAUGAAGAAUUCUGCUUUAAACUACUGCAGCAGCCCAGCCCCCCUUUAUUUAUGAGUAAUAGGCUUUUCAUUUAGAUUUAACUACAGAUUCGAGUGGUUUCCAUGUGCCAGGGCUCGGAGUCACACCAGUGUCUCCUGAGGUGGCCGUGCUGUUUCCACAGAGUCACUCAGGAUCCCCACCAAACCUGUCUUUGCAUACAUACGUGUGUAUUUUAUAUAGAUGUACACAUGCACUUCAUUUUUAAAAAGACAAAGUUUUUAUUCCAGGCUUCAUUUUCCUUUAAACCGUAUGAAGCCAAAGUUCGAAAGGAUGACCCCAAAAUUGCCAGUUUGAUUGUAAUUUCCCCCAAAAGAUUUUGGGUUGUAGGUACAUAGAGAACGAUGGCUUUGCUUCCCCCUUUCUGCUCAUCAUCCCAUGCAACGCUGAUGUGCCAGGAAGCGUGGAUGGGAUCAGGGAGCUUGGUGAGUUUGCCACAUCAGUAGUCACUGAGAGUGCCUGAAGUUUCAUUUUUCAAUGGAAAGCUGCAGUGAAACGAGUAUUUUGCUACUCAUCUUGUUAUUAUUCAUCAGUGCUUCCAAGCACCUCUCAGCCCUUUGUUUCUUGGGAAAGGCAUGGUGCUUAAAGGGGCUGAAAGGUGGAUUUUGUGGAAAGCCCAACCCACAUCUUUGAUCCCAGCGGUUUUGUAAAGCAUUCGUUUUGCUCGCUGGGAAAAUCUCUGCCCUCCCCACUCCCUCACCUCCCCCUCUUUCCCCUCCACCUAAGUUACCUCGUCUGGAUCCGAAGGAACGCUUGCCAUCCUUUGAAGAGGUAGUCUCGUCCGAAAAAUCAAUAGUCAACAUUGUCUUUAAAUAGUCUGACAUUUACCUUUACAGCAGUUUUCAUUUCUUUCCCAGAUUGCUCAGACGUUUGUAUUACCCACACACUACAUCCCUGAUCUCUCGGCCGGGAGCUUUGCACGGAUGCAGCCCCGGUGCUGCAGAGCGGCCACCAGCAAGGAACUGCAGCACGAUAAUUAACAGGACGGGAGCUCACUAAUAGAAGCAUCUUUAACUAAUUUAUGGAAGACAUCAGGUGAGAAUAAUUACAAGCAGAAGGGUAUUGUAAAUCCCUGAAGAAAAUACACUUGGAAUGCAGUUUUCCCAACAAGCAAAUCUGAAUGCUAGCCCAAAGGUCAGAAAUAAAAAGGCUGAGAGCUUCAGCUCCCCGAGCAGGCACCUCUCCGAUCCCUUCUUGUCAAGAAAUUGUCUGGGGGUUCAUUUAGAAAGCUGCUUGUUCAGGGCAGGGCCAUUUGCAAUCUGGGAAAGUUAAGCAAAUUAGCAGAAUUAUUAGGUAAGAGGCAAUUCUCCACAGCCUGCAAGGCAACCGCUUGUUAAAUGAGCUCACACCAGAGAGUUGCACUGAUCGAGUGGUGUUUGCAGAGACGGGGCUGUGCAGGCAUUUGCUCUGAAAUAAUACUGCUGUAUUCCCCUGGAAAAAUUAAAAAAAAAUGGGAAUUUGUGCAGGCUGAGCUGGAAGAUGCCUCUGUCUUCCAUACGCAUUCCUGCUUCUCUGCUCCUUCUGCUAUAAUAAAUAUCAUAAUCCUAGCAAAUGAGAGAAGGAGAUUAACCCGACACCUUUAACCCAGUUACUGCUUAAAAUAGGGAGCAGUGUGGUGCCACGAGGCCCCAAAGCAGGUGGCUCUGCACCCGCUGUCCCCUGGGGCUCAUAGGGACAGCUGUGCACUGCAGCCCCGCUGCUCUGUGCAGUGUUGGGAGUGGGAUCCAACUCAGGUCCUGCAAGGAGCCCACCCAAGGGUGGCUCACACUGCUCACUUGUUUUUAUAUACUCUUUGCCUAUUGAUUUGAUAUUUUUAUACCUUAUACAGUGCACUUAGCACAGAAAAAAAAAAAUGGAUUAACCAAGUAAAUGUGCUUUAUUAGCGGAUCUCUGAUGGAGAAUGAUGUCGGUUUUCCAUUUAAAAGAUGCAUCGGAUUCAUCCACUCAUGAAUCAAUUAGUUCAUGCUUGAGGACCUCCUAACAUGCCACAUAAAAAACUCCCAAUGUCAAACUGCACGCUGGGUGGAACAACCAAGGGUUUCAAAUGAAAAAAGUGCAUCACUGGGAAACCUUUGGCUCUUCCACCACCACUAGGAUGGAAGCACUCUGCCCAACUCUUAGUUAACACAUUCUUUCUGUUCCUUGGUUUCUUAAAAUCUUUCUUUUUUUCAAGUUUUUAUUGACAGCUUUACACUCCUCCCUCUGCUAUACAAUGGAGACGGGCACAUAUCGUAAGCCUUUCCAAUGGUAGUUUUGGGGUCAGGCUGAUUAGAUUUGGGAAGUGUCAAUUGUUGAAUGCUGUCCUCCUUCUGUCUGAGACUAACAACUCUCCCUACUCAGAGGGUUGGCCCUCUUUCUGUCCUUCCUGAGGUUUAGGGCUCAUUGGUCCAUGCUCCACACCAUGAAAAGGCACAUACACUUUCCUAGUGAUUCACAUUUCUGCUUAGAUAAGAACCAACAGGCUCCAUCCCACCCUGGAGCCCCUGGGACUAUGUGGAAGGUCGCAGUGUUUAUUUUUGGUCUUGUCCAAUUAAAGACAAUGACCUGGAGUAGAUGAGAUGCCUGGGCAUGCAUUCAUAUCACAGGCAUAAUGCAAGAACCGUAGGCAUUUAAAUGGGAAUUCUUUCUCACCCGGUUAGACCGAUGCGUAAGGAAAUAAUCCAAGUGGGGCAUUGACAAGAUAUUUUUUGUUGUAAGUCUGCAUGCUAAAACCCCUAAAUAAAAGGAUUUUACUCCUUGAGAGAAAGAGGAAAGGCUAUGCACACCCAGCCUGAGGUGUCACUACAACUCAAUGGGAGCAAUGCACGAGCACUGAGCUGCUGGGAUGGCUGCCUGCACAUUGGGUGCCCACACUAUGUACAGAGCAGAGGGCACUGCUUAAACCUCAGUCAAAUAAGUAAACAUGGACAAGGAAGUAAAAACAGACGCACUUUUUUCUCAUUGCUGCGAAGAAUUCAGGCCAUGCAAGCACCAGGGCUGUGCAAAGAAGAGCAACUAUGUUUAAGAGCAUCCUUCUCUCUCUUGGAUGUACAUCCAACAGCAGAUAACAUCACCCAGCCCUUUCUGCUUUUGGAAACCAUGUGCAGCACAACUUGCUGCUCACAUUUAAUCCAAACUGAUGUCCUACGGCUGUCAUAUGCAUGAUUAUGGCAGUCGUUUUUAAUUAGUGAUUGUGUCAAUAGUAUUGACAUUUUCAUCACUUUUGGGGGAAGUAGAGAAUAUUUUCCAGCAGGUGAAGUCCCCUCUUUGCAGUUCUCUUCCCCUCCAGCUGCACCUACUGGAUAAAUGAGCUAUGCAUCUUAUUAAAAAGAAAGCAAGAGCAUUAAGUCUGUUCUCUGCUUAAGUACAUUACAGCAACUUAGGCAACACGAAACUCAAGAAAGGCAGAAAAGCAAAUACCCUCUGUCCUAUGGCAAGAUUUACAAUCUUGUUCUGAGUGCAAUAUUUAUUAUACGGCUUAACAGAAGCUCUGGCAGGAUGGGGGAAAUGCUGGCGGCCCCGUGACAAGGAGGAGGCGUUCAAUAGCUUGCUGGGAAGUGGAGUUGGACACGAACUGAUCAACCAGCCAUUACACUCAGUGAUAAACACCCUGCAGGAGCCAUCAUUCACCCAGGAAGAAAGAGGAAGGCAGAUCAUUACAUUUAUUGGUCAUAGUUUUUAAAGAGUCAAUAAAGACCCACUAGAAAAGACACGGUUAGGAGCAGGAAUAUAUAUAUUUUUUUCAUGUAUCUUGAAAAUACCUUCAGCUCAGUUUGCUUUCUGCCCAAUACGUCAGGGUGAAUCUUCAUCCUAGGUGAUGGUCCCAGUGUAGACGGUGCUCAUAUUGUACAGUUUUUAAUGUCUUUAACCAUCUUUAGCUUUGUACCCUGAUAGCCCCUCCAGGCUAUAUGUCAAUGCCAUCUGGGAGUAAAAGAAGAGACUUCUGCUCAAGUAACGCUGUAAUGUAGAUCUCUCGACUAAAAUUGCACUUCCUUCACUUGACAAACUGUCAGCACAGAACAAUUAUCUGCCUGUUGGUUUGCUUGUCUUUUCUUUUUUUCUCCUCUCAGAAAAAAGAAAAAAAAAGAAAAAAGAAGAAGAAAAAAAAAACCAUACAAAGGAAAAGGACCUGCAGAGUAAAAUGCCGUGGGCAAAAUCCACAUAAUCUGAUUGCUGCGCCCAGAGAUGCAUUGGUGGACCACCAAAGGUAAAAGUGGGUCUAAUGCUAAAGGAGAGGGACAAUUUCUAGCUCCUUUCUUUCGGGGAUUUCCAGAGAGGAUAUUGCUAAAUAGAAGAUUAGGGAGGAAGAGGCAAGAGUCAUUAGACCCCUCUGCUUGUCUUGAGGGAGAAACCAAAACAGGCUGGAAGAGUCCAAAGCUUGUGUCCUGCUCAACAAGCUGAAGGAACCAUUUGAUUUUUCUCUCCUGGUAAGAAAGGAUGAGGAUGAUGUCUUUAGGGAAGAGAGCCAACCUGAUUUUUUGCUAGCCAUCUUGGUGUUAAUGGGACCGUGCAGUUCAUUUGGAGAAUACCCACAAAGCAUGAGUAGAGCCCCAAGAGGUGUAAUCUAAAUUAGUGGGUAAAUUUAUUUGUGCACUUUUUUUUUACUGUUUUAUUUUCCUUCUUCCCUUCUGUACCACCUCUUUUGCCACCUCCUCUGCCUCACUUGACAGAUGAAUGUGUUCAGGUCUUUGGGACAGAUAAUGUGUCUGUAUCCCUUUUAAAAGUCCUGUACAAACACUAUGGAUAUGAGAGUGCAGGUGUAUUUAGUCUGGUGUGUUUAGCAGAUUUAGAUUAUGAAUUACUGCUCAAAAUAACGUUUGCAUUUGCUGACAAAGGUCUUUAUUACAGAAGAGGUCAAGAAAAAAAGAUUAUUCCUGCUAAUUAUCCACUGCUAUUUAAUAUUUGCACAAAAGGUUUGCAAGACAGAGUCCUCAGCAUUGCUUUGUUUGAGAAGCUAAUAGGGUUUCUAGGAAACCAGCAGGGUCUGGAGGGCCAUCAGAUCAGCCUGUUAGUGGCUAUGAAGGACAAUUAGGCCUGAUGGAGUUACAGGGUGGUUGGCUAAAGGAUGGCAGUCCCUGAGCCAGGGCCUGAUGCUGGGGCAUUCAAAGUCAGUGGUAGAACUUCCACUCAGAGCUGUGCUUUAUGAGAAGCCAACUGGAGAGGAUCCAGUUUUCACACCCUGGGUAGGUCCAUGUCCUGGUUGAAAUGGAAGCUCCAUUUGCUCCUAUGCAGAGCAUCAGAAGGGAUUUGAGGGUGAACAGGUUUGACAGACAAACUGUUGGGAGGAAUAUUAGCAAUUAUUUUUUGGCCCUGGUCUUAGGUUUGUCCCUGUAUAUUAGCAGUCCUUGGAAAGUUCCCCCAAAGUCUAACAGCUGCCUUUGGCUUGGCCCCCACAUUUCUUGCAUUGGUUCAUAGUAGCCUGUAUCGUUCUACAAAUUCCUUAUUAAGUGAAUUGAAGUUCCCAUUCAUAAAGAUAUAAUUAACCAAUAAAUAUACCUGCAGAAAUUUCCAAACGUAGAUGUCUGAAGGUGAGAUCCAUGUUUAAGCUCCUAAAUACAUGGCCCAACUUUAAAAUCCCCACAUCCAUCUUCUUGCUUCAAGUGAAAUGGAAGCUUCCUACUAUUCAGUGCUCAGAUGGCUGUGGGGUACCAAAACACAGACCAAGGUGAUGUUUUGGCACACGGGUUUAUAGAGUGAUCAAAGUAGUGUGACAUCAUUGCACAACAACUGCAUCAGAUGAUAAAAUGCCAUGUACUCCCAUAUAACAUGUUGUAUGGAUGCAUACCGCUGUUCCCAUAUAUAUCCAGAACUCUUCUGGGAGGAUUUCUGGGACAACAAAUGCUUUCAGUAUUUCCUGCAGAGGAACAUGUGCCUGGGAUCUGUGUAGAUGCCAACAGCCAAAGCCUGGGAGCCCCAUUAAAAGAAAUCACCCUGAGCUGCUGCAGCAGGUGAGCCCUUGUCCACCCAUGCUUCACCAGGAGAAAACCUUUUCAGUUACAUUCCGUGGUUUUGUUCCAGUUGUGAUGUCUUCAGCUUCCCCAUUUGUCAUUUUUUAGUAAUUUAAUUAACAUUCCGAAGGAAGAAUUUUAAUAAAGGUGCUGUUUACACCGAAUGCAGCCUUGGGGAGUGAGGGAGAAUAACCCAGACUGCAGGAGUGGGGAGCAUGCUAUUUUGGAAAGCCAAGCCACAGCCUGCUGGAAGCACCCGGUUCUACUCAACCUGUCCCAGUAUCACCCACAGCCCAAACUGCCUGUUUGUGCUGGAGAUUCCUUUCCCCAGUGCUUUCAUCCCCAUCCUUCCUUGCUUAUGAAUCUUGGGUUUGGCAGCAAGAGCUUUAGGGUGGCAUUUGCACAGCGAUUCUGCAUGCACGCUCAUUCCUGUCUUCACUGAUGCUUUCACUUGAUGCAAAAUUAGGGGGUGGGAUUGGAUAAUGCCCAGAAACCAGCACUGUUGAUUACAAAGCAAACAAUUGGCAGGGAAAGGAGUGUGCAAAAAUGCGUGCCUGCAGCUUGCAGCUGCAGAGGUGGUGACCAUUGGCUAUUUUGCCACGUGCUGUGGCUGUAAAGCUACAAGCAUCCUUCCUGCGCAUGGAUGUCAAUUUGCCCCAUGAUGCUGCAGGGAUUCAUUGGAGCUACUCACUUUCCUCUGUUUACAGGCUAAAAUAUUUGCAACUUCAUGUUGUAAGGGCUUGGGCAUCUCCUAUUAGACAAGGAUAAAGCCCUUCUGGAUGCACUGGUGGGUGUUUGUAGAGACGUUGCAUUUUUGGAAAAAAAAAAAUAAUAAUUAUUAUUUCUUUUAUAUAUUUCCAGGGUGGUGUGAAGGAGAACAUCCUCCUCCAACAGUUCAUGCACAGCUUCCCACUUAUGCAUUUUUCAGAACGAAUGCAGCAAAUAUACCUGAUCAGUGCUGAUACAACUGCUUCUCCUCCCCGACAUAUUUACACUAAGAGAUUGAUGAACCACAGGAAAAGAAGAAAAUAACAGAACAAACAACUUAUCUUCCCAGAAGCUCCCUAGAAACUUAUCUGUCAUCACUGCCCAGGCUGCAGCAAGAGGGGAUUUCAGCAUGGAAGGUAUUCUCAGUGUAUGCUGUUCACUCUGAGGGAACUUUUGACACCCAAGCAUUCUUUUCAGUGUGAGAAGCGAUUACUGCUUCCCAAAGGGGAGAGCUGGAGACCUGAGCCCUCAGCUCUGCACAUGCUCCUCAACCCCAACUUGUUCUCAGGAAAAAGUACCAGGUAUUUGCCUGAUCUAACGGAAUACAUGGAAAAAAAACAAACAACAACAACCAAACCACUAUUUGGAUUUCAGUAGGACUUCAGCAUAGACGCUUUGACACUUAAGGUGAGAAAAAUGAGCUACAGAGGAAAGCAUGGGUUUCCUUUUAGCUGAGGAGGGAUGCUCCUGCAGCUCCACUGCUCCUCAUGUCUUUGUCUUUAAAACACUCAGUGACAUAAAAAUUAGACGCACGUUAAACCUCAAAUCUAGCAAAUAGCUCCAUCUCUUAAAGCAUGUGAAUACUCCUGAUACUAUUAAGAACAUUUAACCGGUACCUGAGGGACUGGGGACCUGGAGUCAGGCGACCCAGUUUCCUACAUAAGAAAAGAGAGAAAUGUCUGCCUCCUCUAAUGCCAGGGGUUAUCCUGGGCCAGGUAUCUUUAAAAAGUAAAGAUGUGAGCAAUCUCAUAUCAGACUUAUGCAUCCAAAUGGCUCAUUAUACCAGCAGUAAUAGCUUGUGAUAGUCCUAUAGAUUUACAGUACUUAGGAAGAGAUGAUGCCCAACGUCCUUUCCCAACAAUCAUUAUGACAUGGGGAAAACCAGUGAUUUUCUUUAAGUCCAUUAGCAUAAUAUUUGUGCUUAUGAGGAUUAGACCAGCAGACACUUCACAGGUCUUUAGAAACAUAAGCCCAACACAUUCAAAUGGAGACUUUUUUUGGAACAAAGCUAUUAUCUCUCAAAUCACCCAAUAUUGCUGGCCAGUUUGGGGCAGCUGGGAAGCAGCAGGUGCUUCCACCCCAUUCCCUGCCUUGCCAGCCCCAGAAUUCCCAUUUCGUGAGCAGCUCAGCGCAUGGAACAAAACACAAGGAGGGAACUUCAGAUCAAAACGUUUAUUCUUCAUUGCAGCGGAUGAAACACAGGCACGAGGCUCCUGGGGGGGAGGUGUCUGAGCAAUCACACGUAAAACGUACAGCAUUUGCACUUGAAAUACACAGACCUGAAUCACAGCUGGGAUCAAUACAGGAGGACGAUAGAGAUUAUCAAUCUUGAGUGGUCUCCGUUACACAGAAUUGACUGGCAGCCACAUAAUGGCUCGGGCUCAGCCCACCAGUUUAGAGCCCGGGUGACAGAUCUGCAGACGCCAGCCAUCAGCAUCCCUCCUUGGCCCCUCUCACGUGCCCAUUUCUUCUGCUGUCCGGGUCAGCCUCCGAGGUGCGUCUGAGAGAUCAAUGCACAGCUACAGCUGGUUGAAGGGGACCAAAUCCAUUGAACAGUUGAUUUGGUUCCAUUUUACCAGCUUUAGCAAAGCAUUUGGCCUCACGCUCUGCAAAGCAAAGAGGGGAACUCCUCAGGGCCUUUUCCUUCACAGUCGCCAGGACCUCUUCUGAACUUGCUGCCUGACGUUGCACGGGUUCACAUGGCUUCGCUUUCAGGCAUUCAGGAUUUAUUUAAGCUUCUUAGCAGCUUUGGCUGAAGAGCGAGUCUGAAUUAAAGAGGCAGUUUUAAAAGCAGUGGAACAGUCUGCAGCACUCAGUGCCUGCCUGUAGCCUUUUAAACCCGGUGUUUGGCUCUGUUUUGAAGCUGCAUUGCUACCACAGUGUGACUGAGUAGUGUCCUAAUCCAGGUCAUUUAAUUGCCACCUCCAGCCUUCUUUCUUUCAGAUCUUUUGUCUGCUAUCCCCACCCGUGCCCUGCAUUCUGGUAACUCAAGUUUUCUCAUCUACCUUUAAAAUCAGUGCUUUCCAUGGCUUUCAGAUCUGUUGAAGACAAGCAAGGACUGUAUUUACCACCAUCGGGAGGGCGUUGAGUGGAAGAGAAAGCGGAGCAGCCCUGCAGCCUCCCAGCCCCAUCCUCUGCAAGGGCUCAGCCUGCAGCUCCCGGAGAGCCCCACGCUGUGAGCACCCACUGCUCCCAAUAACUCAGUAAAUCAGAUUUUUAAAUCACAGCAGCAGGAGCCAAUAAAGCCAGACCUCUCCUUCGUAACCCAGCGCCACGCGCAGAUAUUGCACAUCGCCACGUGCGUAACCUAUUUAAAGAAUUUACAUGCAUCGCGAGGCAAAGGUGACUUUUUCCCCCCUCUCCCUCACAGCCCACCGCACACACCACGACAUGACACCGAGAAAAAAGCACCUGUGCUGAAAGGCACUGCAUGCAGAGAUAUUGCAUGUGGGCCGGUAUUGCUGGUCCCCAAGAAAUCCAGGCUUUGCAUUGUAACAGUAAGUAGUGCAGAUCACUUAACUGCCCAGCCCCAGUACUGUAAGCUGCCUAUAAAUAAAUGCGGAGAGAGAGCGAAAGAGAGAGAGAACAUCUUUUUUAAAAGAGCUCUACAAUUAAUUUAAUCGAGUUAUCUCUAGGUACCUUUUCAAGAGACAAUCAAGCCAAGGAGCUAAAUGGAAACUUAGACAGUGAGGACCUAGAAGUAUUAAACUCAUCCUUUGGUGAGUUAUAGGAGGGAGGGAAGUAAUUAUUUACCAGAGAACGGGAGGAGGUGGAAGUGCCAGCAGUGACCGAUGCUGCACCGAGACUGCAAGCUAAACCCUGACGGGCAUAUGGAUUUUGGGAGGCAGAGCAAUGAACUGCCCGAACAUCAGCAUGGCGUGCUCCAGGUGCCCUUGUCCUGUCCCCAUCCCAUUGGUUUUGGCAGGAAGGGCGUUAAAACAAGCAUCUUCUGCUGGAGAUGAGUGCUGCUCUGUUCCCCUCGCUUUGCUUCAGGGAGUGCCCCGCAGCACAUCCGAAAUCAAUGCCAGCACGCGCCGACAUUCCGUAACGUUUUGUUUGAAUUCUCUGCAGUGAGUUAUGAGUGAGGUUUUCCUUUUUAGAAAAUUAGGUUUUCUCUUCUGGAUGCCAUUAAUCACGACUAACGAUGGCUCUGGCGGCGAGGCUUUCCCAGAACUGAGGAAAAGCAUCCCCACACCUCUGCUGCAGGGCUGCAGCACAUGGGGCUCACAGCCCCCACACACCUGGGCCCGGCCAGCAGUGCAGCAAGAGGAACUGCAGAGGCUUUGCUGGAUGUGUUCAAAGGUGUGAGCUGUGCUGAAACCCAGUCAGACCAGGCUUUGGUGUCACUUACCCUUCCUAUUGCCCUCCCAGGUUCAAGGACCGGGCGACCCAGCGCCACCAAAUUUAGGUUUGCUGUCUGAAGGUCAUCCUCAUCCAGUUGUUUCCUCCCAGCAGUGCUUGGAAUUGGGUCUCACUGGGAAGGUCCUUUCUGGUCGCUCUGUCCCUAGGACCCUGCCCAUGGGACCGACACCGCCCCAGCCAGGAAUGGCCACAUAGUGGAAUGGCACUGGGGAGAUAUAGGAACACAUCUCUGAAGCAAAUCCAAGGCAAAAUAGCAAAAUAAAGCUGUGCAUCUCAUUCCCCUCUCUGCCAGUCACUGUGUAAUGCCUCGGUUUUGCUUUUGGUCUAAGUGUCAGCUUUGCAGUUCAUGAUUACACUUCUGAGAGCAGCCAGAUCCCUGUGUUAUCAAAGCACUGCCAUGGCAAGUGGGGCCAAAAGUGGGCAACAUAAGAGAACCUGGGGCAAUGAAGACCUUUGUGCUUUAGCCUCAACAUUCUAAUGAAGAUGUUUUAUAUAGACAGCACAGAAUAGCCAAAGAAUUUAUCAACAUUUGUCGAUAUUCCUAAUGAAGCAGAAGAUUCAACAUGCAAUAGAAUUAGCCUACAAGGAACCCUUGUGUAGGGCCCAUCCUUCUGAGUCCAGAAAUCUCCUGCUUAUUCCAGUCCAAUACCCUUUUGAGAAAUGAACAUCUCUUGAAAUCAUUAUCAUUAUAAGCUAAAAGGCCAAAUGAGACAAAGUACUGUUGCUCUUCAUCUGAAUAAACAAAUCAUUUUUAGAUCAAAUGCAUUAACAAUUUAUCAUGCUAAAAUCCAAUCAAAAGGAAAAAACAACAAUACAGAACAUUGAUUUCUUACAGCUUUAUCUUAAUGAAGUGCACAUUCCCUCUGUAAUUAGCUUUGGAAGGUUUUUUUCCCUUUCCUCAAGUUAAUGUGUUAUUUGAUUUCCAUCCAAAUGUCACUAAAUCUGAGGAAUUUUCCCCAAAAUGAAGUGGCUUUUGAUAAUACAGGAAAACGUCUGCUCUCUCAUUUGGCUAUUUUUCCCCCAAACAGCCAUACUUGUACUGCAGAUGAUUCAACUUUAUUGCAUGGUGUCUUUGCGAGGAUGUUUAAAUCAAUGCCACAGUUGCUGUAUUCUGCACAAUGUGCCAUUUGUAAGCCAGAAAAUACAACCUCGGUGCUUUUAUCCUUUUUCUUACAGACAUAAAAUAUUAAUUUAAUUUAUAUUAUUACAGGGGAAAAAGUGGACUGUGUUUUAUUAACAUUUCUAAAAUUAUAGGUAUUCAACCCAAAAAAUAUGCUUCAGCCAAGGCUGGGAAGUCUUCCGCUUGGAUUUUAUUUGACUUAAUUAAAAAGCACUCAGUUCCUAUGGGCACUAAAGGAGCUGCUGACAGUGCAGUAGCCACUCAGUCUUUCAAAACUAUUACCUGAACUUAAUAAAGUGUCUAUUUAGUUUAUACACCUCCAUGAUCCCACCUGUCUCCCACCAACAUGAUGCAAUUCUUGCUAAUGGCUGGAGAAGGCAGCGGGUUGAUGGCAGCCCACAGGCACCCCAGGCAGAACAAUUCCCAUAUCCUAUUGCCUGCCCUAUCUACCUUUAAUCACAGGGUCACAGAAUGGCUUGAUUUGGAAGAGACCUUUAAAGCCCAUCUGGUCCAACCCCCCGCAAUGAGCAGGGAAACCCACAGCUCCAUCAGUGCUCAGAGCCCCUCCAGCCUGACCUUGGGUGUCUCCAGGGAUGGGGCACCUCUCUGGGCAACCUGUGCCAGUGCUUCACCGCCCUCAGCAUAAAAACCUUCUUCCUCAUAUGCCAAUAUCCGAAGCGUUCAAAUCUCCACCAUGCUUGUAAUGAUCAAUGCUAGGAAAGCUUUUUCCCGGCUGCCUCUCUGCUCCUCCACUACAUAUCUCAUUUAAAUCUUUUCUUCUUUAAAUGAUGCUGAACAGAGGACUAUUGCUUUCAUCCUGCUUCACUGAGUAUUUGCUGAAAUGCAGUGGCUAAUUUGAUAGUCCGGUUUUAUUUGGACGUACUGUCGAGACAGAGAGCAAGAUCUAUAACAGAGAAUAUAACCCCAAAUCCUACCAAUUACCAGCUUAUUCCUUAGUUAUACAGGAGACCACAAGUGACCUUAUCAAAAUCUUGACUCUCAAUAUGAACAUCUUCGUCUUAAUCCAAAUUUCACCCUGGAGCUGAAGGUCCUGCUUCAUACACAGCCUAAGAACUGCGGAGCAUCCAUUGCAGCAGGGAGCCCACCCCUGGGACAGGGCUGCCCGCCGAGAGCUGCAGCUCCUGGAACUGGCAGCAGAAAUAGUUUGGAGUUUGGAUUUUUAAACUCACACACUCAAAGAGAACAAAGCUGUUCCCUAAUACACUUUGUGCAUUUUAUGGACCGAACAAUUAAAGAGGUUUUAAAACAUCUGCUGACUGCAUAAUUCCAUACAGGGGAGUGUACUCAGCAUUUUUAAACAACAACGGGUACGAGAUACCACUUAACAGUACAAAACACCAUCAGUCCCGUUAAAAUCAAUAGAAAAUUAGAUGCUAUGAAAAUGCAAUAUGUGUCCAAUUAGUUAUAAUUGGAGCAAAUGGUGAUGCAGAUAAACUCCUGGAGUAAGAUGCAUUUGUCCGGCCCGCUCCCUGCCUGCUUUCGGCACAGCACGGUAUCGGCAGUGGCAGGCUCUGCUGUGCCCCAUAGCAUGAAGGAUGAUCCCUCUAAUACACGUAUGUUAACUGUUAUCUAAUUAUGGAGCUGCUCUGAGCCUGCAGGACUGUUUCGGUGCCCCACCGUGCGCGGUGAAAAAUGAUCCUCUGUCACACGGAAACCUCCCUGUUGUACUUGACAAAUUAUGCCAGCAAACCUGUUUAAGAACUAAAAAAUCCUUGGACGCGGUGACAGGCCAAGAAAUAUGUUGUUUGGGGACAGAUAUUUAUUUAUUUAUCUGGCAGAGGUUAAGAGCCACCACUCGGUUCACUUCUCCCCUGCCUGUCUCCGUUCUGGCAGCUCAAAAUCCGUCUCACCGAUUGUUUCGCCGGUUUCUUUCAACUCAUAAAAACUCCAUUGCAAGGCAAAACAGGAACUAGGUUAUGCGAUGCCAGCGCUUUAUUUUUAACAUCUCCCCUGCAACACGUUGGCCUCCUCUUGGUUUAAUCUUACAACUAAAGGAAUAAGAGCGACGGUUCCGCACAUCCCCAACCGAGUAUUGCCGCCGGCCGCGCUGCCAACCCUCCGUGCCCUUGCAGGGUAUGGAAAUGUGAAACUACUCACGUUGCUCUCAGUACAACCCAUAUUAACUUUGGGGGGUAUUUUUUUCAUAUAUUUGUCUAUAAAGUAGAGAUUACUUUACACAAACAAUUAGCUCAGAGGUAAGAAGCUAUAACUACCGGCAGGGCUCUUAUUUUAUUCCUGUUUUCUGUUAAUAUUAUUAUUCUAAUCAGCAGUAAGGACUGGUGGGUGCAAAGAAAAGCUCCUGUUUGCCCGGCCCUGAAACCUCCUUGUGUUAUUGCUGCUGUUACUUACACGGGAAAGGGAACUGUCUCUUGAGGAAGGGAAAAAAAUGGAGGUGGCAGCUUUUAUUUGUUAAGCUGACUCAGCUGGACAGUGGAACAAGAAAUGUUCAGAUCCAAUCCAUAACUUUUGUGGCCGCUCUAAGGACGUAUUCUUCCUCGACACUGAUAAAAGUUUAAUAUGGAGUUGCCCAGGUUUUUAAUAAACUUGUCAACAAAAGAGCAAGGCAAAUUGAUGGGGACCUUCCCAGGAAUAAAUUCCACUUCAAAUAGGCCAAAUGAGUGUGGAGGACAGAGAGGGGAAGGUACACGGGCAGCUUCUGCUGUUCUUUGCAAAAAUGGCACAAUGGAUUUUAGUGGGUGCGUAUGUGUGUGCGUCUUAUUAUCUCUGAGACAAGGCUUUAGGACAAAGCUUAAAUUAAAGAACACAACCUGGUGUGGCUCAGAGCCCUGACACGGCAAGGAAGGGAAGGGACAAAGCUCCGGCACUGAUUUAGCGGUGAAGCCAUUCCCCACUAAGGAACUGCCAUCUCACCCUGCGAGUAGUGCCGCAUCUCCCAGUGCACCUGAAGGCUCCAGGCAUCUCCUACCCAGACUGUGGUCACUUUGGGACCAUCCCCAACACACUCUGCAACAACCUUUACUCAUACGCUGAGUAUCACCUGUGCCCACCCAUGCAUCACCUGCCCGCCAGCAGACCCUCUCUACUCUGACCUGUGAUGCCAACAGAGUUUUAUCCCACAUCCCCCACUACGCACAUCACAUUUCAGCUACUGCCUGCGCGUUUAUCUCCACUCAGUCAAACCAAUCCCAUUCACUGCUCAAUUUUUUUACUUCCAUACAUCAUGAGCUGCCUCCAGGCACCACACCGCCCCUUCCCAUGGCAUUGACUGCAGGCAUGGCAGGAGGGGCACACACUGCAUGCUCUGCAAGCUUGGGAUGGAAAUCUCUGCACGAGAUGCAUUAUUUUCUAUUAGCCUCCAUCAAGCUGGUGCCUUAAAUUAUUAAGCUUUGUUGUGGUGUUGGUUUGUUUUUUUUUUUAAUUUGUUGACCUGAAGUAAACACAAGUAUUAAAUCAGAUUCCAAUAAUCUCACUGACAGUAAAUUAACUCAUUGUGUCCUAGAGGGGGACGCAACCGCAUCUUGGCCACUCUGAGCAAUGCUUCACCAUCCCUGCAGAUUCCACAUGCAUGCAAUGGGGUAAAAAGCAGAAGGCCAGAUCCUGCCUCCAACCUUGGGCCAUGUCCCAGAUUGGAAGCUCUGCCUGGAUGCCGCGAUGAAAUUUAUUCCUGAUCAUUCUUAGGUCACCGGAUUCCUGCUCCGGUAGCUUUACCCGACCCCCCAAAUGCCAGGGUCGACGUGCCUAUGUAAGGGCUUUGCAGGGACGGCUCCUGCCCUCACAGCUGCUUGGGGACUUCUGCAGCCGGUGGUCACGAGCCCCUGGCUGCCCAGAUGCCACCUAAUCCGGCCCGGCAGAGGGGCAGCUGAGAAUGAGCACUAUUUAUACCAGCUGCUGCUGGUCCCGCUGGGCUGCCUGUGGCUUUUUUAGCUAGCAGCUCCCAUCCCAGCGCAGGCCAUAUCUGGACAUGGCACAGGCAGAGUGCUGUGCUUCGAGAAGAGAAGAAAGAAAAAAAAAAGAGGGAAAAAAGGAAAAGCUGCAUCUGUUUUAAGAUGUCAGGCACCCUGUUUCCAUCAAAGCAUCCUGAGCACCACCAAAACUGCUCCAACUGCUAAAAGCUUCACUAUAAACUUGCCUCUUAUUCCAAGUGUGUCUGUCCUCUGACAACCUUCCACCCGUGCACAUGGCUAUUGGCCUCUGUUCCUUCAUACAGACCUCUAUGCAAGAAAUGCAAGCUCAAAGCAAGGGUGAAUGCUGACACUGCUUACACAGUGUGAGCAGAAUCUCCUUUGGAGAAUUACAGGGUGUCAGAGGAGGCAGGCGGCUUGGAGCUCUGCCUGUUGAGGAGGCUGCACAAGACUUUGCAUUUUGGCCAUUACACACUCAGAAUGAGCUUGUUCUUGGGUAAUUGCACCAAGACCUUCUCCAGUCCUAUCCCUGCAAUGGCUUCAGCAUCUCUACAUGAGCAGCCCCCUCCCUCUGGGGGAAUGCAAGGCAGGGGAGCAGCAUAGCUGCCUGCAGCCCAGCAAGCAGGCGGUGCAAUGAGCUGCACUCGCCAUGACCCUGCAUCCCAACAGGGAAGCAUCUUGCUGCAUGAUGGCUUCAGGUCAAGAGCAACUUCAGCAGAAAGCGCUAAACUGAGCGCCUUCACUGGGAGGGAAUCGCUGAAAUCAGCGCCCGGCUUUCAGGGGAGGGAUGCGAGCUCCGGAGCGAGGAUAUUUCUCUUGCAAGGAACACACCACCCCCUCGCCCACAGCCACCGUGAAGUGCAAGAUGUGGUGAAACUCUUUAAAAAUAGAUAUAUUCCCAAGCAAUACAUGCCGCUCGCAUCUGGCAGGGCAAACCUAGCAUGGAAGCUCUUGCUUACAGACUAAAAAGCCUCGGAGCAGCUCAAGGCUCCUGCAACCUUGUCUCUCUCCUCGAUUCUUCAGAGCCCGCUCUUGUUCUUGGCCUAACCCAGUCCUGGGAAGCACAAGGGAAGCCCUGCCCAGCUAGGCUGGUGUCAAAGGCAGGGAAAGAUACUGCAGUGCAGUGCUGAUCUCUUCUGCAAUCGGACGUGCAGACUAGCCCGAAUGCUGAGUCAGCACAAUUUCUUUUUUGAUUGGUUGAUCCGAGUAACAUACUUUCAAUGUAUGCUAAAGGGGCAGCAAUUAAUAUGUUUUCCCCCCGUUCUCCACCUUUCCAAACCUCCUCAAAUCAAACACACAAAUCUCACCCCCAAAGUCACUCUCUGGUCCUAAAUAUUCUGAGGCUCUUUCAUUUUUAAUUUAGGGCAUUAAAAAAAAAAAAAUUUGCAAUCUAAGCGAUGCUCACUUUGAUCGACUUGUGCUGCAGCAGCUAAAAUAUCUGUCCUGCAGGUCAAUCUAAUCAUGCUUAAUAGCAGUUUAUUCUUCAACGCAACAUUUUUCACAUUGGGUCGACAGUUUUAAAUGAGAUUGCUGAUGCACCCCUUUACUAAUGCUUUCACCAGGGCCAGCACAUCCCUUGAAAUACUCGUGCAAUAAAAUGAAUGCUUUAUUGCUCUUGAUGAAUGCACUAUUAAACUUGAAUUGCAAAUAUGCCCCCCCCCCCCUUUUUUUUUUUUUUUUUACAAAAGAAGAGUGCUGGGAUUUAUUGGACCACCUGUCUUCCAGUAUUAAGUAAUAGCAACAAAAGUAAUAAUAGCUCAUCAACAUAAACACAUGAAAGGGAAAAAAAUAAUUCAGGGGAAAACACACAGCACGAAUUCAUCCCCGUGCUCCCAUGCGCGUGUGCAAAAUUCCCAUUCUAUACCUGCCCGUAGUUCCUCUUAUGUGCAGAAAAUUCAUCUCAAGAACGGAUGGGUUUUGUGAGGCAUAGAAUAGGAAAACGUAACUAAUUUGGUCCACUGGAUUUAUGGCUUUUACAGUCCUCAGAGCUCCCGUUUCUGCUGGUGGGACCGCUCAGUGCGCGCUUUGCGGGACGGAUGGGCACAGCCGAGCAUCGCGCCUCGCUUCAGCACAGAACCUGCAGCUCUGCUCUAUGGAGAGCGAAGGAGAAGAGGCUUUCUUCAAGCUAAGAAAUAGGGAGGACCUAGUGUGGAGGAACAGUCACAGUUUUAAUCCAAACAAGAAGAAAAGCGAGAAGGAGCUGGAGCUAAGAGUAAGAAUGGCGCAAACUGGUGGACGAUGCUAAUGACUAAAGGGCUGACGUGGUUUUGGGGUCUUUACAGCAUUUCUAUUUAUUUUUUGGCAUUGCCACACUGCACCAGAGAUGGGGUAGGGUCUCAGGAUGUGUUCUGCACCCACACACCUCCACCACGUGGCUCCCACACCGUGAGACAGAGCUGAGUUAUGGUUUUGAAAAUAUUUACAUAAAAAUAAAUCUGAACACUUAGUGACUUCCUAAAGUUAGCAAUUCCGUGUGAUUAACAAGCAUAUUAAUUCAGAGAGGGGGAAGGAGAUAAAAAUUGCAUUAGGGAUGCAGGUAUCUGUUGUAAAUCAGACCAUGAGCACCUUCGCUAGAGAUAUGCACAGUGAUGUGGAAGGCUCAGUAACACCCGCGCUGAGAAUGCAGAGAAAGAGAAGAAAACAAGAAAAAGAAAGAGCAAGACAAUGAGAGAAUGAAAGAAAAGAGAAAAAAAAAAAGAAAAUAAAGAAGAGAAAAAUAUAAGAGCGGAGUUGAAAGCAAGAAAGCAAGCUAGAAAUAAGGAGAAAAUGAGAAGCACACAAGUAGAAGACAAGGAAAGAAGGAAGGAGAGGAAAGCAGUGAGGAAAAGGGAAUCGAGAAGAGGUAGGGUAAAAGGUCACCUGGGAGAGGAGGGAAAUUGCUAUUGUGGCCAGAAUGGUGAGAAUCAUCCCCAUUUUUCACACAGCAAGUCAAGCUCCCAGCAGUGAUGUACAAGUGAGAGAAAUUGCAGCCCUGUUUGGCCAUGGGAACUCUGCUGCUCCGUCUCUAUUCAUUUCCCAGCACCUUUGUAUUUAAUUGUGGCCCCAAACUGGGGCAGGACACCCUCAGUGGCUGGGACCCAUCCCUGUCCAGGGGACAAUGCCUCUCCUCAAAGCACCUGGCAAAGCAGAGGUCCCUCCUCCCCCAAGCAGAGGUUGAGCACUCCAUGUGUGUCCACCACUUGUAUCAUCUUUCUAAAAAAAGAAAGAUUUAUAAAACUUACAGAAUUCUGUACAUUGGAAAUCUCCUUAAGAGCCCAGCCCUCCUUACUUAACCUGCUAUUCACAAGUGCCUGCUUUCCGUUAAACCCCAUUUGGUGUACGUGUAACAAGUGGCAGCAGUGCUUGCCAUGAAUCACAACAAACUGAGGCUCAGCAAAGGCCUUCAGAGCACUUUUGCCAAGCACAGAGAUGUGCUGAAACCAGAGGGAACUUGCUCCAGAGCAGAACACUGCUGUGCCCUCGGCUGCACGGCGGGGUGAUGGGGAUAAGUUUGCGAGUAGGUGGGAUGGAGAAAUGCAGUGCCUAACAGCCCAGAUAUGUGCAUCUCAUAAGCUUGAGGAAAAUGGGGGCUGAAAGCUUCACCCGCCCCUACCCAGACAGAAAGUUCUGAUUGUUCGCACAGAACGUUACACCCAUUUGUAUCAUUGCAUCUCACUGCCGUGGGAUGCUGGGAGAAUAACCAGGUGUUUUACGAUGAGAAAGGUUAAAAAGGAAAACCAGAACACCAGGAAAGCUUCUCAAAUUCAAGGUGCUAUUUUCCUUAUUUCCCUCUAAUAACCCUCUAAUAACACACACUGGGAGCGCUCACUGCCUCUGGCUGGGAGCUGGGCACCCACUGGCCAUGUCCAAGGGCCAACACACGCACAGUGAACAUUGCUUCCUCUCCAGCAUUAAGCACAAAAAGUUUUAACACAGGAAACAUCCCAAAAGCUGUCUGCGUAUUUACGUGAAGCCAAAAUACUGCACCUCCAAGUCACAACUCCUUCCCUUCUUCUCCCCGCCUCCAACUCCUUUCCUUUUCCCUAGGAUUAAGGACCAGCUCUUUUACCCAGCCUUAUUUUUGGGAAAAAGGGCCGAGGGGGAAGCAGCAAUCCGGAGGGACUGGUCUGUAUCCCCGCUGAAAACCAGGAGUGGACAGCCAGCUUUCCUCUGGCAUCGCCUUUCAAAGCCCAUGCCGCAGUCAGCAUAUUGAAUAUUUAAUGUCCUGAUGAGCAUUUCCACCUGCUGACACAGGCAAAGUGACAGAACAAUACACGCACUGGAACAAGAUCACCAAUUGACUCCCCAGCCAGUCUGCCAUGUCAGGCAUCUCAAAAAAAAAAGACAAAAAUCUGUCUGUCUUCCUCCCCCCCCCCCCCUUCACACGGGGUCAUACAUUGCUCCUCCGAGAAGAGUUCCCACCUGAAAUACAUACUUCUUUACAUUCCAUAGAUUGCCAGGUUCAUAUGGGCAUAUAAAGAAGUAUGUCUCUCAAGCAGGUAGGUUCAAUAUGCGCAUUUAUAUGUACACGGGAGGAAAUAGGGCUGGCGUGCCAUUUACUUCCCAGGAGUGAGUUACAGCACAGUUUGAGGCAGCCCAUGUGCAAAACACACACAUGCAUGCACACACACACACACACACACACACUCACUCCCCUUGCUGGUCAUUCCGGCUCUGCCCCUGCAGGUUGCUGGGGUUUAGGGCUGGGAAGAGGCAGUGGGCAAUGCCUGGAGUGCCUGCAGCACUUUGUCAUGGAAUGGCACAGAGGAAAAGCCCCACUCCCAGCCCCCCUACAAAGAGGAUGCUUUCACUGAAAUUGCAAACUUUCAGCAAUUAAAAAGGCUUUAGUUGAAGGAAUUUGCUUUCUGUGUAUAUAUAUAUAUAUAUGCAUAUAUAUAUGUGUGUGUAUAUAGAUUUAGACAAAGCCAUGUGGGUGGAGGUUAAGUAGAUAUCAAAUCCCGAUCGCCUCCAUCCUGCAAUUUAGAAACAAGAAGCCAAUUUGCUUUCAGAAAGCCAAAAUCCAGCAUCCGGCACUGAUUUACAAAGCAACACCAGCAAGAAGUGCUCCAUCUGGCAGAGCAAGAGAACUCACCAGCUACAGACACGCCAUCGCUUCCAGCACUAAGUAGAGAUUAAGGCAUAGGAAGAAGAAAG
ensembl:lncRNA